UUUGGAUCUUGGCUCAAAUUGAACGCUGGCGGAUUGCUCCUUCAUGCAAGUCGAACGGUAACAGGUCUUCGGACGCUGACAAGGGGCGAACGGGUGAGUAAUAUAUCGAAACGUCCCCAGUCGGGGGGAAUAACGUACCGAAAGUUACCCUAAUACCGCAUACGAUCUACGGAUGAAAGCGGGGGAUCGCAAGACCUCCCGCGAUUGGAGCGGCCAAUAUCAAAUUAGGUAGUUGGGGGGGUAAAGGCUCACCAAGCCAACAAUCUGUAGCUGGUCUGAAAGGACAACCAGCCACACUGGAACUGAAACACGGUCCAAACUCCUACGGGAGGCAGCAGGGGGGAUUUUUGAACAAUGGACGCAAGUCUGAUCCAGCCAUUCCGCGUGCAGGAUGAAGGCCCUCGGGUUGUAAACUGCUUUUGUACAAAACGAAAAGGCUCUUCCUAAUACGAGGGGCUCAUGACGGUACUGUAAAAUUAAGC
rnacentral:rRNA from 1 species